rnacentral:tRNA from 1 species
ACAGUUUUAGUUUAAUAAAAAUAUUAAUUUGUCGGGUUAAAGAUGUUUAAUAACAAAUUGUA